rnacentral:pre_miRNA from 1 species
UGGAGUCACUACCAGUGCUGUGUUUGACUACGUAUGUAACCACAGUAAUGGUAUGAACUCAGAU